rnacentral:rRNA from 1 species
AGGGAGGAGCCCAGCGCCGAAUCCCCGGCUUUCGGUCGCGGGAAAUGUGGCGUUUAGGAGUGAGCGUGCCGGGUUCGACGGCGGCGGCAAGUCCCCCUGACCGGGGCCUGUCCGUAGCGGGUGCGAGGCCCAUAGCCGCCGCUUUCGUCUCGGAUGCGAUCUCCUUGGAGUCGGGUUGCUUGGGAGUGCAGCCCUAAUCGGGUGGUAAACUCCACCUAAGGCUAAAUACCGCCGUGAGACCGAUAGCAAACAAGUACCGUGAGGGAAAGUUGCAAAGAACUUUGAAGAGAGAGUUCAAGAGUACGUGAAACUGCUCAGAGGUAAACGGGUGGGCCCUCGAAAUCCUGUGGCGAGAGGAUUCAGUCUGGCUCGGCGGACCCGCUUCGGGAAAUCUCGGGUAGGGCUUCCCGUGACUGGGGCCGUCCCGUUGCGGGGCCUCCGUCGUUCCAGACGCAUUUGUCUCUCGUCCGAAGGACGCUGCAGCCGGUUCGGAAGUGCAAGCGUGRCGGCCUGAAGGCCGGGAGCUGGCAGGUGGCCGGAGGCUCGCCUCGUGCGGGUUUUCGGUUGUUAGCCGUCUCGGCAGUGGCUCGUCUCCGGACCGAGGUGUCGCGAGUCCCUUCGGGGACUCAUCGCCUCCACCCUGAGUCGCGGGACAGAUCGUGGCAAGGGUUCCGUAUUCCCGCCGUCGCACUGCUGUGUAGUGGGCGGAGGGCUGCGGGGCCCCGUUGGCUGCGACGGGCCCGUUGGGGGCUCGAGGCUUGCAGCGAGUAGGUCGGUCACCCACCCGACCCGUCUUGAAACACGGACCAAGGAGUCUAACAUGUGCGCGAGUCAAUGGGUCUUGACUAGGCCCAGGGGCGCAAUGAAAGCGAAGGACUGCCUCGCGCAGUCUGAGUGGGGAUCCCCUUCCCUCGGGAGGGGGCGCACCCACGACCCGUCCUAUCCGGCUCGCCGGUUGGGCGGAGUCUGAGCGUACACGUUGGGACCCGAAAGAUGGUGAACUAUGCCCGGACAGGACGAGGCCAGAGGAAACUCUGGUGGAGGUCCGCAGCG